rfam:Triticum aestivum genome assembly, contig: Triticum_aestivum_CS42_TGACv1_scaffold_289382_4AL
AAAACUAGCCAAUCCCAUGGGUAUGAAACCCAUUUGAGCGAGAAUAGUACUAGGAUGGGUGACCUCCUGGGAAGUCCUCGUGAAAGGGUUUC